GGGUACCGUCAGGCCUAACGUGUAUUAUACGUUAGGAGGUUCUUCCCCUCUGACAGGGCUUUACGACCCAAGAGCCUUCAUCACUCACGCGGUAUUGCUGCGUCAGGCUUUCGCCCAUUGCGCAAAAUUCCCC
rnacentral:rRNA from 1 species